rnacentral:sRNA from 1 species
GUCGUGAGAUGUUGGGUUAAGUCCCGCAACGAGCGCAACCCUCAUCUUCAGUUGCCAUCAGGUUAAGCUGGGCACUCUGGAGAAACUGCCGGUGACAAGCCGGAGGAAGGCGGGGAUGACGUCAAGUCCUCAUGGCCCUUACGGGCUGGGCUACACACGUGCUACAAUGGCGGUGACAGCGGGCGGCGACGGUGCGAGCCGAAGCCAAUCCCGAAAAGCCGUCUCAGUUCGGAUUGCACUCUGCAACUCGAGUGCAUGAAGUUGGAAUCGCUAGUAAUCGCGGAUCAGCAUGCCGCGGUGAAUACGUUCCCGGGCCUUGUACACACCGCCCGUCACGCCAUGGGAGUUGGUUUUACCCGAAGGCGGUUUUGCUGACCCAGCAAUGGGGGGCAGCCGACCACGGUAAGGUCAGCGACUGGGGGCGAAGUCGUAACAAGGUAGCCGUAGGGGAACCUGCGGCUGGAUCACCUCCUUUCUGGGUCUGGAGGAAGAGCUUGUGCCCGCCAGGGCAUGGGUAAUUUCUCUGGCUACCACAACACUGACGCCGAACGCAGCUUUGAGGCCGCCGUCCCCGCAUCCCUUCUCCCACGGAAAAAGACGAGCGAUCGGGCUAGUAGCUCAGUUGGUUAGAGCGCGCGCUUGAUAAGCGUGAGGUCGGAAGUUCAAGUCUUCCCUGGCCCACCACUGACGACUGGCCUUCGUGCUCUUGAGUGAGUGUGCUGGCGGGUAGCUGACCCUGGGGCCGUAGCUCAGCUGGGAGAGCGCCUGCUUUGCAAGCAGGAGGUCACCGGUUCGAUCCCGGUCGGCUCCACCAGAGCCGACCAACCUUCUGAGUAAGCCGGCUCCACCAGAGCCGACGAAGAGCAAGAGUUCGGCUCCACCAGAGCCGACCAGACUGCUGUCAAGAUGGCGGCUCCACCAGAGCCGACCAACUUCUGAGUAAGCCGGCUCCACCAGAGCCGACCAGAACUGGAAAUCAAUAUUCCGUGGGAUGAAGAAAGAGAGAAAUUAGCGGGUUUGGUUGGGCGCGGCUGCGCUUGAUCGGAUCCGUUAUGCGGUCUUCGGGCCGCUGCUGUUUUACAUUGUGGAUAAGAAUGCGACUGGCCGUUGGCGCCGGUUGCCUUGUUGUAUGCGCUUGGCCCAGGGAGGCUGGACGCUGAACGAGGAACCGAUUGUCGAUUGGCCAGGCGGGUAAUAUGAAAUGAAGAGCUGAGUGUUAAGUCGAGGUUUUGCGAUCGCGGGUGGGGAUUUUGAUCUCUGUGUGCGGUGGCGAGCUUCGGAUCAAGCGUUUAAGGGCAUUUGGUGGAUGCCUUGGCACUGAGAGGCGAUGAAGGACGUGGCACGCUGCGAAAAGCCGCGGGGAGGGGCGAGCACCCUUUGAUCCGUGGAUAU